rnacentral:lncRNA from 1 species
CGGGCAAGCGUGGAGUAAGUUCUCACAGUGAGUUAUGGGUCACAGGACAGUCCAGGGAGAGAGACCUGUUCAAAAACAACUUGAUCUUAACCAUCUCAGCCUCGGUACUGGAUUGCCUGAACAGAUGAUGAGAGACUCAAAGUCAUGUACAAGUUUACACCAGGUUUAGGUUUGAAAAGUCUUCUCAUCUGUGAAUGGAUUAUCUUCUGCCCGACCUGUGUUCAGCUGCAUAUUCUUAGGUCAAAGGAUGAAUCUAGAACUGGAAUGAAUGCAGUGUUCUCUUAGUGGCCUUGACCUGCUGUGUUUACCUUUGUAUCUUAGUUCCACCAGUUGCUAGGUAUGUGCCUUUGAAAAAGUUAUCUGCUACCUUUAAGGGUAGUUUCAGAUCACUGUAGUUUCAGAUCAGACAAAGGUAGUUGUCAGAUCACUAAGUCAUACACCUGAAACUAAUAUAACAUUGCGUGCCAGAUAAACUAAUUAAAAAGUCUCCAUUGCUUAUCUGUUUUGAUCUAUUGUCCUCUUUUCUCCAAAUGUUGGCACAGUGAGGUUUCUUCUGUAACUUUUCACAAAAGAAAAACACAGAUGUCACGCUAAACAAAACAACAUACAUCCUUUUUAAACUUUAUUUAAAUUACUCAAUAUUAUAUGUAAUUUUCACACUUUGUUCUUUCCC